AAUGUAGUACGUCCGGGCCUGUACCACCGCCCGUCACACCAUGAGAGUUUGUACACCCAAAGUCGGUGGGGUAACCUUUUACGAGCCAGCCGCCUAAGGUGGGACAGAUGAUUAGGGUGAAGUCGUAACAAGGUAGCCGUAGGAGAACCUGCGGACUGGAUCACUCUCCUUUCUAAGGAAUUAAUCGGAAACCUACACAUUGUCGAAACAGUGUUCAGUUUUGAGGGGUUUACCUCUCAGCUUGUACUUUGAAAACUAAAUAAUAUCCCUUUCUAAUAAAAUCAAGAAAACCGAGAACACCGCGUUAUUUGAGUUUUCACCAAAUAAGAAGCGCAUCCUCAACUAGUUUGACUGACCUACAAUCAGUAAGGUUAACUUAUAAAGGGCGCAUGGUGAAUGCCUGGGUACUAGCAAGCCAAUAAAGGCCGGGACUAACGCCGAUAUGCUUCGGGAAGGGGUAAGUACGCUUUGUUCCGAAGAUUUCGAAAGGGGGAAACCCAGUCUUCUUGGUCGCCGAUUCACAAGCAAUUCAUUAUUGGGGAUUACU
rnacentral:misc_RNA from 1 species